CUGUACCAUAAGCCCAUUGCAGCUUCAUCUUACCUCGUGAAGCUUUCUUCCUGCUCACUACGCUACGAGAAACCCUAGACUUACUUCUUCGCAGCUUACGGCCACAGUUCCAUGGAUAUCGAGGAGGACAUUCGUGCACUAGAACUUGAUCCACCAGAUGUUAAUGGGGUUCCUAAUCCAGAUUCAAAGAUGGAGGAAGUUGUGAAAUCCGAUAAUCUGGAAGAAGAUGCAAAGACUGAAGAAAUUGUGAAGUCCGAUCAGAUGGAAGAAGAGGACCGUCCCCAACAAGCCCAAGCUAUCCACCUUGAAGGACAAGUGAAGGAGAACAUAUCUGCUAAGGAGAAGGAAGUUCCUCUGGCUGAUGAAAAUGAAGAUGAAGGGGAUUUGGAGUUGCCUCGCAAAAGACACUUGAAUGUCGUCUUCAUUGGUCAUGUUGAUGCUGGUAAGUCUACAAUUGGAGGCCAGAUACUUUUCCUCAGCAACCAGGUUGAUGAGCGUACAAUCCAAAAGUAUGAAAAAGAAGCAAAAGAUAAAAGCAGAGAAAGCUGGUACAUGGCGUAUAUAAUGGACACAAAUGAAGAGGAGAGAGUUAAGGGGAAAACUGUUGAAGUGGGAAGAGCGCAUUUUGAAACUGAGACCACAAGGUUUACGAUUUUGGAUGCUCCGGGUCACAAAAGUUAUGUCCCAAAUAUGAUCAGUGGGGCAUCUCAAGCUGAUAUAGGGGUUCUGGUAAUUUCUGCUAGGAAAGGAGAAUUUGAAACUGGGUAUGAGAGAGGUGGACAGACUCGUGAGCAUGUUUUGCUGGCAAAAACUUUGGGUGUUGCUAAGCUUCUUGUUGUAGUGAAUAAGAUGGAUGAACCCACAGUAAAAUGGUCGAAAGAAAGGUAUGAUGAGAUAGAGACUAAGAUGGCACCCUUCUUGAAGUCUUCUGGUUACAAUGUAAAGAAAGAUGUCCAGUUUUUACCUAUAUCUGGUCUUCAUGGUGUUAAUAUGAAAACAAGAGUGGAUAAGAAAGUAUGCCCAUGGUGGAAUGGUCCGUGCUUCUUUGAAAUCCUUGAUACAAUUGAAGGUCCACCUAGAAAUCCAAAAGAUCCAUUUAGGAUGCCUAUCAUUGACAAGUUCAAGGAUAUGGGAACAACUGUUAUGGGUAAAGUUGAAUCUGGCACUGUUCGUGAGGGUGAUUCCUUAUUAGUAAUGCCAAAUAAGAUUCAGGUGAAAGUUGCUGCUGUGAUUUGUGAUGAAAAUAAAGUUAGGAGUGCAGGACCUGGGGAAAAUCUUCGUGUUAGAAUAUCUGGAAUUGAAGAAGAAGAUAUAAUGUCUGGGUUUGUACUGUCCAGCAUUGCAAAACCAAUACCCUCUGUUUCAGAGUUUGUUGCACAGUUGCAGAUUCUUGAGCUGCUGGAUAAUGCAAUAUUUACAGCUGGAUAUAAGGCCGUACUUCACAUUCAUGCUGUUGUUGAAGAAUGUGAGAUCAUAGAGCUGCUACAGCAGAUUGAUCCGAAGACCAGGAAACCUAUGAAAAAGAAAGUUCUCUUUGUGAAGAAUGGUGCAGUUAUUUUGUGCCGCAUCCAGGUCAAUAACUUGAUCUGCAUCGAGAAGUUUUCUGAUGUUCCUCAGCUUGGGAGAUUUACACUUCGUACUGAAGGGAAGACAGUUGCCGUAGGAAAAAUCACUGAUAUUUCGGCUGCAAGCAAUUAAACAAUUUUGAUCUGCGAGGAUCUGAAAUCAGGGAUGACGAUUGGCACUGCCCGGCACGAUAGGGGACUCUACUUCCUUUCUGACGAGGCUUCCUCUAGGAAUGAUCACCAAUCGGGGGAAACUUAUGGUAAAUUUGAUACGAAGGCCUAGCAUGCUCGGACCUUUUUUUCAAUGGAGUCAAUGCCUGAUCGCAUUAUUGGCUAUGGUAAAAGAUCCUAAAAUUAUUGAUGGGUUCCAUCUGUUUGGAUACCAGCUUUUAUACACAAGUGUUUUUCUAUUUAUGAGUGUAAAGUUUGAUUUGCAUCAGUAUCGUUGAAUAUAAGUAGCAGUUUCUUAGUUAAUCCAAUCCAUAUGUCCCAACUAUUGUGUUCUUUAUCCCUGUAAUUUAAUGUUUUUUUUUGGUAUCCCCAUUGUUAUGAAGAUUUUGGUCUGUACUUCCUUCAUGGUGCUACCUGACAUGGUGAUGAAGCUUGAGUUUGUUAACUUGAUUAUUUCUUAACAUGCUACAUGCUUCACGGUGCUACAUGACAUGAUGAUGAAGCUUGAGUUUGUUAACUUGAUUA